rnacentral:rRNA from 1 species
AGUUAAGUGGGAAACGAUGUGGGAAGGCACAGACAGCCAGGAUGUUGGCUUAGAAGCAGCCAUCAUUUAAAGAAAGCGUAAUAGCUCACUGGUCGAGUCGGCCUGCGCGGAAGAUGUAACGGGGCUAAACUGUGCACCGAAGCUGCGGCAGCGACACUUAGGUGUUGUUGGGUAGGGGAGCGUUCUGUAAGCCUGCGAAGGUGGCCUGUGAGGGUUGCUGGAGGUAUCAGAAGUGCGAAUGCUGACAUAAGUAACGAUAAUGCGGGUGAAAAGCCCGCACGCCGGAAGACCAAGGGUUCCUGUCCAACGUUAAUCGGGGCAGGGUGAGUCGACCCCUAAGGCGAGGCCGAAAGGCGUAGUCGAUGGGAAACAGGUUAAUAUUCCUGUACUUGGUGUUACUGCGAAGGGGGGACGGAGAAGGCUAUGUUAGCCGGGCGACGGUUGUCCCGGUUUAAGCAUGUAGGCGGAGGUUCCAGGUAAAUCCGGUACCUUAUUAACGCUGAGGUGUGAUGACGAGGCACUACGGUGCUGAAGUAACAAAUGCCCUGCUUCCAGGAAAAGCCUCUAAGCAUCAGGUAACAUUAAAUCGUACCCCAAACCGACACAGGUGGUCAGGUAGAGAAUACCAAGGCGCUUGAGAGAACUCGGGUGAAGGAACUAGGCAAAAUGGUGCCGUAACUUCGGGAGAAGGCACGCUGAUAUGUAGGUGAAGCCCCUGCGGGUGGAGCUGAAA